GGUAUGCUUCUCCCUCUUGCCCUAAUUUUCUUUAAAUUUACCAAUUUUAUGGCUUAAAUUCAUUGUUAUUGUCAGAAUUUUCAUGAACCCUCUCUUCAAUGUUCUUUGGCUUUUUUUUCCAUUGUACUGCUGAGCUAUUGUGUGCUGCUUCUUCCGAUUUUCUGGGGAUAUAAAAUGACACAGCGACUUGGUAUAUAUGCAAUCACUCCUGAAAUACCAGACUGGACCUGUAAAGUGCAAGUUGUGGAUAUAUGCAAACCAGGAGAAGGUUCUCACCGAAAGAUAAAAUAUUUGAACAUGAUCUUUCAAGAUGAACAUGAAGACCAAAUAAAAGCUAUUAUUUACGGUGAUAAAAUCUCCUCUU